GUGUCAGCCGCCGCGGUAAUACGGAGGGUGCGAGCGUUGUCCGGAAUCAUUGGGUGUAAAGGGUGCGUAGGCGGGUUGCUAAGUCUUGGGUGAAAUCCUGCCGCUUAACGGUAGAAUGGCCCCCGAUACUGGCAGUCUUGAGUACAGAAGAGGUCGGUGGAAUUCGUAGUGUAGCGGUGAAAUGCAUAGAUAUUACGGAGAACACCAGUGGCGAAGGCGGCCGGCUGGUCUGUAACUGACGCUGAGGCACGAAAGCGUGGGGAGCGAACAGGAUUAGAUACCCUGGUAGUCCACGCUGUAAACGAUGUAUGCUAGGUGUCGGCCUUUCGGGGUCGGUGCUGCAGUUAACGCAGUAAGCAUACCACCUGGGGAGUACGUCGGCGACGAUGAAACUCAAAUGAAUUGACGGGG
rnacentral:rRNA from 1 species